UACCCUCAUGCGCCACUACUUGAACAUGAUGUUUUAUAUGCAAUAGUCAUUCAUGUGCCUAUUAUAAUUUUAGAUCACUUUCCCCUUAUUAUUGUGGUUAUUGGACUACAAAAGAGGUCAACCAAACUAUUUAAAUUUGAAGUAUGGUUAAGAGACUCUUUAAGUACUCCAGUAAUGGAAAAUACCUAGUAAAUUCAUGUGUAUGGAUCAACUGCACAUAAAUAUUGCCAAUAUCUCAAAAAUGCAAGAAUAACUCUCGUUAAAUGGAAAAAAAACAUACUUUGGUGGCACUCCAAGCAACAUUAAAAAGCUAAAAGAGGAGAUUAAUACUUCCAACAACAAAAUCCA
rnacentral:lncRNA from 1 species